GACAGAUCAUCAACCGGGUCAUGGGGAUGCGGUCAACCUUCCAAACACGUCACACCGACAGAUUGUAGACUUAUCUACAUUCAAGGAGGAUGUCAAGAAAGGCUUCCACUGCAGGCAGCUCAACUGAAGGUGGCCAACAACCAAACCUUAACCCUUCUGAAAAGAAGAAAAGAAAGACCAGACCAGCAGGACAUCCAGAUCCUCUUGCAGAGGUGGUGGCCCUGCAGCCUGAUGAUCUACUGGCCAUCGGCCAGUUUGUCUGCUACGUGUGUGGUAAGGGCUUUCAGCGUGAUCAGAAUCUGUUGCUCCACAUGCGAACCCACAACAUGA